AUUGACCGCUGGCGGUAUGCUUAACACAUGCAAGUCGAACGGUAACAUAGCUAGCUUGCUAGCUGAUGACGAGUGGCGGACGGGUGAGUAACGCGUAGAUAUCUGCCUAGUAGUGGGGGAUAGCCCGGAGAAAUCCGGAUUAAUACCGCAUACGCCCUACGGGGGAAAGAAGGCCUCUUCUUGAAAGCUUUCACUAUUAGAUGAGUCUGCGUCGGAUUAGCUAGUUGGUGAGGUAAUGGCUCACCAAGGCGACGAUCCGUAGCUGGUCUGAGAGGACGAUCAGCCGCACUGGGACUGAGACACGGCCCAG
rnacentral:rRNA from 1 species